rnacentral:rRNA from 1 species
AGAAGGGAAGGCGGAAAGGGGGAAGGUUGUAAAAAAGUAAAGGGGCGGGGGAGGGAACAAGGGGGAAAAAAAAAUGGAAAGCGGCGGACCCCGAAAAAUCGAGGACCUGCACAUUUUGCAUAUCAAUAAGCGGAGGAAAAGAAACCAACAGGGAUUGCCUCAGUAACGGCGAGUGAAGCGGCAAAAGCUCAAAUUUGAAAUCUAGUACCUUCGGUGCUCGAGUUGUAAUUUGAAGGUAGUUUUCUGGUGCUGGCCCUUGUCUAUGUUCCUUGGAACAGGACGUCAUAGAGGGUGAGAAUCCCGUCUGAUGGGGUGUCCAGUGCUUUGUAGAUUUCUACCGAAGAGUCGAGUUGUUUGGGAAUGCAGCUCUAAGUGGGUGGUAAAUCCAUCNAAGCAG